AGGAUAACUGCUGAUGGUUUAGAUGAGAGAUCUCCACCUUUGACAUCACUCAGAAUAUGCAUCAGCACAUGACAUGUGGGCGCUGAUGCUACUCUUGCCUUUAAAAAGCAUGAUGACAAAGCAUGAUGAUAAAGCAUUCUUUUGCACCUUUGCAUCCUUAGGGUCAAGAUAAUUAAAUGGAAAUUCUAUGAAACAUGCCUCUGAGCACCUUCCUAAGGAGACGAUAACUAUUAAAGGAAAAGAGUCACAAAUGCAUGGAAAAUAAUGGCACCCUAGACAUGUAAUAACAGAGUUGGAAGGGACCUUGGAGGUCUUCUAAUCCAACCCCCUGUCCAGGCAGGAAACCCUACAGUCUUCAGGAAGUCUUCAGGAGAACUCUCCUUUCUAGUGCUUUAAGCAUUGGAUCCACACCUGGAAAAAAUUCAGAAGGGAGCAAGAUUUUGCAUAUGACUUGAUGAUGUUAAACUAUUCAACACCACUGACAAUGCUACUACUCUACAAAAACACCUUGACUAUGUAUCAGAAUGGUCAAACAAUUGGCAGCUCCAAAUCUCAACCAACAAAUGCUCUGUCUUACACAUUGGCGAAAAAAAUCAGAACAGAAAAUACAAGCUGGAUGGAUACGACUUAACAGACGACCCUCACUCUGUCAAAGACCUUGGAAUACUCAUCUCAAAUGAUUUAAGUGCCAGAGCUCACUGUAACAGCAUUGUUGUUAAACAGUUUUUUAACAUUGUUAAUGUUAAAAAACAUUAAGAGUUGCUAACCUAAUCUUGCGUAGUUUCUUCUCCGGUAAUAUUGAACUGCAAACUAGGGCAUACAAAACUUUUGCCAGACCAAUUCUUAAAUACAGCUCAUCUGUCUGGAACCCACACUGCAUAUCAGACAUUAAUACAAUUGAACAAGUCCAGAGAUAUUUCACAAGAAGAGUCCUCCACUCCUCUGCUCGCAACAAAAUAACUUUUGCCACCAGACUCGAAAUUUUUGGCUUAGACAAUUUCAAACUUCGCCAUCUUUGGUCUGACCUAAGCAUAGUACAUAAAAUCAUCUGCUACAAUGUCCUACCAGCCAAUGAAUACUUUAGCUUCAACCAAAACAAUACAAGAGCACACAAUAGAUUCAAACUCAUGGUAAACCAAUCCAAAUUAGACUGCAGAAAAUACGACUUCAGUAAUAGAGUUGUCAAUGCCUGGAAUGCACUACCUGACUCUGUGGUUUCUUCCUCAAAUCCCCAAAACUUUAACCUUAGACUGUCUACUGUAGACCUCACCCCAUUCCUAAGAAGUCUGAAAGGGGCGUGCAUUUAGUGUCUUCUUAAAUUCUACAUUAACUUAGGAUCAAUUCCAUCCAGCAAUUGCCAUUCCAUCUGACUGAGGCUGAUAGAGAAAUAGGACACCUCUCUGCUAAAUUCUGAUGACCAUGGGGUUUCUUUUUUGCAAUGGUUUCUUUUCAGGAUGCUUUUUUUAAAAAAGAAAUUGGAAAUAAGAAUAUAAACCUGAAUUUACUUUUUCCUUUUCCAUCCCCAUGAAACAAAACAGCCAAUGGGCACAGAUUGUAUCAUCCAUCCAUUCCAAUAGCCUGAAGAGAUUCUUGCAUAGGAAGCAUUUCCUUCCAUUGGAAGCUUCAAUGUGACACAAAUCUCCUUGUCAAGGAAAAACACAUCCUUCACCUCAAUGAGAAAACUUGCAUCAAACAGAGCAAAAGUAUAUAAUUAAGUUGACCAAUUGGAAAGUUUGAUGCAGACAAAUUGGAUUAAAUGAUCUUUGUGAUGAUGAUGAUGAUGAUGACGACAAUGAUGACGAUGUUGGCAUCUCAUAUAUUCCAUUUCCAAACAUCUGUCAGGAACUACU